UACGUAGGGGGCUAGCGUUGUCCGGAUUUAUUGGGCGUAAAGCGCACGCAGGUGGUCGUGUACGUGUCGUGUGAAAGCAGCUCGCUUAACGAGCUGAGGCCACGACAGACUGCGCGACUGGAGCCCGUGAGAGGUCCGUGGAAUUGCCGGUGUAGUGGUGAAAUGCGUAGAGAUCCGGAGGAACACCAGAGGCGAAGGCGGCCUACUGGGCUGCACCUGACGCUGAGCCGCGAAAGCCAGGGGAGCGAACGGG
rnacentral:rRNA from 1 species